UAUAUUGUUAUUAAUAAAUUUUAUCUUUUAUGUCGAAUUUUUUAUUUGCUUUUGUAUGUGCCUGAGUUUUUCUUUCUAUCUUAUUCUUUUGUUAUGUUUAGAAUUGAUUUUCUUUUGAGUAUUUGGGUUAAUCUCCAUAUUUAUAUUGAUAUUGUUUUCGUAGGUUUGGUUUUUGGUUUGAAAUUUCUAUGAAUUAUUUUAUAUUGUAUAUGGCAUAUGAAGCAUCUCUAUUUUUUUGGGGAAAAAUCAAAACUACAACCUAUGUCUUUCAACCCAAGGAUAAAUUUUUAUUUGGUAUGUUAUAUAUAAAUUUGUUGAAUUUGAAGGGUUUUAUUUGGUUUUGAAGUAGAAUUUGGGGAUUCUAUAAAUUUGGAAGUUAAGUCUUGGGGUUUUUGGUAUUUACAUCUCAGUAAGUUGAUCUUAAUUCUUUACCUUAAAUACUUUUUAUUUGGGUUCAUGUGAUUUUUUGUUUUCUUAAUUAAAGCUACAAUUUUUGGUUGAUUGAUUAUUUGUUUGGAUUCAACAUAAAAGAUAAUGGAAUUAGGUGUUAUAAUUUUAAUAUUUGAAUUGUCUAUAUUGUUAUCACUACAACUAAGUAGGAUUGAGAAAAGCAUAGAAGUUAAGUAUUUCUUCAUAAUGUCUAUAAUAUGCAUAUUAUUAACCCAAUUUUCUAUUUCUAAAUUUCUUAGAUUUUAUUAUAAAUAAUUUUUAGUUGUAAAUUUAAAUUCUUUACUCAUUAUUGGAUUUUUUUUUUCGUAGUCAAUAGCUUUCUCGUGCAUCGCACAGGUUAGCGACUAGUAUAAUAUAAGUUUAAAAAUGUAAUUAUAGUAUUUCAUAUCAAUUAUAUUAUUAUCAUCUAAAUCAAUUCCAAGCACAUGGCUAAAUAUAUAUUAAUAUCUCAUAUCUAGCAUUAAAAUGCUCUCCUUACUCUCCAAGAUUUGGUUAAGAUACAAAAAGACCAUAAUUACAUCUCUAAAACUUCAUAAACUAUCAACCAACUAGUCUAUUACUUACCAAAAAUUAUAUAUGGACUAAGCAUAUAAUUUUCCAAAAGAGAAAACUUAGCUGAAAACACCAAAAACGGCUCCAACAGAAGCCGCAACAGCUUCUGCACAAGCUGUAACAGCUCCAGUGGAAGCUGUAACAACUUUUGCAGAAGCUGAAACAGCUCCAGUGGAAGCUGCAAACAGCUUCUGCAGAAGCUGUGACAGCCCCAGCAGAAGCUGCAGUAGCUCCAGCAGGUUGACACAUGUCCUAAAAUGAUGUCAUUCACCCAUAAAUGCCCAAUCCCAAUAGCUGUGGUACCAGAAACAAGACGAUCUCAUAAAGAUUAUCUUACCAUCUUUAUCCAAAUCAUAAAUUUAAUGCCAAGAAUUUUCCUCCAAGCAAAAGAUGUCAUCAACCAGCUGUGACAGCUAUGAUUGACAGCUGUGGCAACAGCUCCAUUAGCCUUAAGGUCCCUAGCCUUCUUCUUUUGGCCAAAAAACAAAAGACCACUUACUUUGUCAAAGGUUUUUCCUGAUUUACUAAGUUUCCCUUCAACUAGUUCUGAUCUAGUUACAUAGCUUGGCUCUAUAUAAAGAGAACCAAGGUGCACACUAAAGGACCCCCCCCCCCCCUCUCUCUGAUCCCUCUCUCUGAUCCUCAAGGUUCUGAAACUUGAUUCACCUUGCUGCACAUAUCUCUAAACUUCUCCAUACUUCUCCAUCUCUCUUACAAAGAUAUCUCUUCUUAGAUAACAUCAUUAUAUCACACCUCUUACACCACACCAUUACACACUAUCCAUCUCUCCCACACUUCAAUACUCUAAAACUUCAUUAUUUUGCUGCCCAAAAACACAUCUCCAUCUCAUUCUUUAUUUCUCAUACAAAAUCUCCCUUCUUAGAAAGCAACAUAACCCAUGACAUAACACAAAAACCACUCUAACAGCAGCUAUAAUCUCAUAUAUUUACUAUAUUUAACCUUCAUAUCAUCUAUCUCACACUUCCAUAUAUUUUACAAACACAUUCCUUACAAAAUACCCAUACAUACUCCUUAUGUAUCUUUAAACUCCAUGUCUCACAAAGUGUACAUAUACAAGAUCCAUGUCCAACAAAGUAUCUACAUGUAAUUCCUAUACAUAUUACAAACAUCAUAUCUCACAAAAUAUAUAUAUUUCUUAUCAUCCCCACACAUCUUAAAACAUAUCAAACACUCUUCCAAGAACUUAUUACUAAAAGCCUUUUCUUUUGGAAGAUAUAUAUUUAUAAUGCUAAAAGCCCUUCUUAUGAAAGGCAAAAACUCAUAAAAUUAAAAGCCCUUCUUAUGGAAGGCAAUAUCACUCAUACUUGGCUAAAAAACCAAAAGAGCAUUACAUGGGAAAAAUCAUUUAAGUGCACGAUAAAGAGGAUGAACUUAACCAACCUAUGCACACGGCUAGACAUAUUCUCUCUCCCUCCAGCUGCACCCAUUUUUCCCUUUCAAACAUGAAGUCACCAUAAAAGGAUUCACUUCAUCAUGUUGCUGAAACAUUAAGUCUACUGAUGUGAUACAGCUGGAGCUGCAAAACAUGAAGAUAAGUCAUCAUAUUUUGUCUUCAAAAUUAUGUUACUUAAAAAUACACCAGAAGCCAUUGGUCUAUGCAGCCCAACGUCGAGUUCCGGGUUGACCUCUCCAAAACAAAUCCGGACCUAGCAAAGUCGCACCUCCAAAGACACAUGGCUACGAGCAAAAAACUGCCCCCGACAUCUGUUCAAGAAACAAGUGAAGAAGUAUUGUAUUUUAAAACUCGACAGAUAUUCCAACAAAUUGUAUCUAUCAAGGUUUAAAAGACAAUUUUAGCCCGAUGCUUGACAACUGCUCGACAGAUACCCUAUCUAUCGAGAAUUAUGAAAUUCAGAUUUCCAAAUCUGUUUUUCACGCAUAUCCAAGCUAUGUGUUCAGGUAUUCUUUUCUCACAACCCUAGACAUAUAUAAGGAUUAUUUUAAGGGCCGUCUCACUUGAUACAAAGGUUGUUGCACUUGUUGUUACAUGCACAUGGUGAUCGGAAACAAUCUACCUUAGUUCAGCUUUCUCUUGAAGAAGUUGCUGCAUUUGUACGCCAUAGGGUUUUAUGACCAAGGAGCUUCUUGAUCUUCAUCGUGUGGUGAACUGAAGAACUUUACAGCCAACAUCCUUCUCAAGUUGGUGUGUUAGUCAUGUAUUGGGAUCCAUGCAUCAAUUGGUUAGUCAUGUACUUGGAGACGUGCAUUGAAAGGAGAGAUUGUCACUACAUUACAAGUCCAAUUGUGUAUUGGGCUAAGGGUUCAACUAUAGGUUGGUAUAAGGUACAGGGAUUCUUAUACUUGUAAUCGCUUGUUUUGAGAAUUAUGGAUUCUCGAGAGUGGUGACCUUAAAUUCACCUAGUGGGGUUUUACCUUAGUGGUUUUUCUCAUUCGUAAACAAA